rnacentral:rRNA from 1 species
CGUGAACCCAUCGAAUUUUUGAACCCAAUUGCCCCCGAGGUUUCUGGUAAGGGCACGCCUGCCUGGGCAUCACG